GAUGAACGCUGGCGGCGUGCCUAAUACAUGCAAGUAGAACGCUGAAGGAAGGAGCUUGCUCUUUCCGGAUGAGUUGCGAACGGGUGAGUAACGCGUAGGUAACCUGCCUGGUAGCGGGGGAUAACUAUUGGAAACGAUAGCUAAUACCGCAUAACAGUAGAUGUUGCAUGAUAUCUACUUAAAAGGUGCAAUUGCACCACUACCAGAUGGACCUGCGUUGUAUUAGCUAGUUGGUGAGGUAACGGCUCACCAAGGCGACGAUACAUAGCCGACCUGAGAGGGUGGUCCGCCACACUUGGAACGAGACACGGCCCAGACUCCUACGGGAGGCAGCAGUAGGGAAUCUUCGGCAAUGGACGGAAGUCUGACCGAGCAACGCCGCGUGAGUGAAGAAGGUUUUCGGAUCGGAAAGCUCUGUUGUAAGAGAAGAACGAGUGUGAGAGUGGAAAGUUCACACUGUGACGGUAUCUUACCAGAAAGGGACGGCUAACUACGUG
rnacentral:rRNA from 1 species